rnacentral:misc_RNA from 1 species
UGUGGUAUGUGUGUAUGCGUGU